rnacentral:rRNA from 1 species
UGCAGUCGACGAUGAAGCCUUUCGGGGUGGAUUAGUGGCGAACGGGUGAGUAACACGUGGGCAAUCUGCCCUUCACUCUGGGACAAGCCCUGGAAACGGGGUCUAAUACCGGAUAACACUCUGUCCCGCAUGGGACGGGGUUAAAAGCUCCGGCGGUGAAGGAUGAGCCCGCGGCCUAUCAGCUUGUUGGUGGGGUAAUGGCCUACCAAGGCGACGACGGGUAGCCGGCCUGAGAGGGCGACCGGCCACACUGGGACUGAGACACGGCCCAGACUCCUACGGGAGGCAGCAGUGGGGAAUAUUGCACAAUGGGCGAAAGCCUGAUGCAGCGACGCCGCGUGAGGGAUGACGGCCUUCGGGUUGUAAACCUCUUUCAGCAGGGAAGAAGCGAAAGUGACGGUACCUGCAGAAGAAGCGCCGGCUAACUACGUGCCAGCAGCCGCGGUAAUACGUAGGGCGCAAGCGUUGUCCGGAAUUAUUGGGCGUAAAGAGCUCGUAGGCGGCUUGUCACGUCGGAUGUGAAAGCCCGGGGCUUAACCCCGGGUCUGCAUUCGAUACGGGCUAGCUAGAGUGUGGUAGGGGAGAUCGGAAUUCCUGGUGUAGCGGUGAAAUGCGCAGAUAUCAGGAGGAACACCGGUGGCGAAGGCGGAUCUCUGGGCCAUUACUGACGCUGAGGAGCGAAAGCGUGGGGAGCGAACAG